rnacentral:tRNA from 1 species
AGUCUUUUAGUAUAAUUUAGUACAUUUAAUUGCAGAUUAAAGAGUUUAAAGGACUU